rnacentral:tRNA from 1 species
GGGCGGUUAGCUCAGUUGGUAGAGCAGCGGACUUUUAAUCCGUUGGUCGGGAGUUCAAAUCUCCCACCGCCUACCA